rnacentral:lncRNA from 1 species
CGGGUUCUCUUAAAGACUGGACAUGUUGGCUGGGGUUCCUGUCUUGUUCAUCUCUAAACUUAGCCUUUCUGAGGUUGCAGGACAGUGAUGAUGGCUGGGUCCAGAGUCGCAGCCUCCUCCCUCUCAGAAGCUACCCAUUCUGUUAAGAGGCCACAGACAACCACGUUCCUAAUUGUGCAUCCCUCCUUGGGCUUCAGCUCCACUGGCAGAGAGCAGAGAAGAGGAGAAAAGAAGAAACAGCUGAAUGUCGGAGAGAAGCAGAUUGAUUUCAGAGAGACGGCUUGAUGGCGUGACUUCAGAGUUCAGUCCAGCCAGAAAUGACUGUUCUUCACGGGAAGAAUACUUUCCCGCUCCCUCCCCUUUCCAACUCCCCUUCCCACUGAGUGCCACCUCCAUGGGCAAUAAAGUCCUCUGCAUUCACCACCCUUCAAU